rnacentral:misc_RNA from 1 species
UGCUAACUCGUUAGCAUACUUGUUUCAGUGUAGGUAACCAACUAUAAAACAAAAUGUAAGAGAAACUCUCUUAUGAAACAAUGCUCUAAUGCAGCAGUUACAAGUAAUUGUAAUCCUUCUUUAGAGGAACUUGCCUUUUUUCUACCUGAGAUAAGUAAGAAGAC